rnacentral:rRNA from 1 species
GUAUCAUGGCUCAGGAUGAACGCUAGCUACAGGCUUAACACAUGCAAGUCGAGGGGAAACGACAUCGAAAGCUUGCUUCCGAUAGGCGUCGACCGGCGCACGGGUGAGUAACGCGUAUCCAACCUGCCCACCACUUGGGGAGUAACCUUGCGAAAGUAAGACUAAUACCCAAUGAUAUCUCUAGAAGACAUCUGAAAGAGAUUAAAGAUUUAUCGGUGAUGGAUGGGGAUGCGU